UAAAAAAAUAUAUGAAUAUAUUCAUGACAUAUAGUGAGAGUGUCACUAUAAUAAAAUACAUAGAAUACAACGGGAUACAUUGAAAUACAAUGAAUAUAAUGAAAUACAACUUGAUACAUUGAAUUAUAAUUAAAAAAAAAAGAUAAUAAAUACAAUAAAAUACAUGAAAAUACAGCGUGAUACGCCGAAAAUACAUUAAAAUAGAGAGGAGAGUUUUGGGUAUGAUUGAGUCAAGUCCCAUUGCUUUUGAACCUAGAUUGCCGUUUGAAAUGGUGUUGCAACGUAAACUUUACGAAUCUUGUUCUAGCUAUUUGUGUUGGUUGUUAAUGGGGUUCUUGCCCUGUUUUGGCGUUUGUUAUGUCCAGGCGCGUGACAAGGGUUUUUUUGGGUGGGAAGCGGCUGAUUGUUAUGGCUAGAGACAGGGUCUUCUGGCCGCUGGUGUUGUUGGUAGAAGAGGGUGUUCGGUUGGAGGCUUGGGAGUGAAGAGGUGAAAGAGUUUGGGUGGCUCAGGAUUAGAGGUUCAGAAGGGAUCGCUGACUCUUGGAUUUUCUGGUAAUUGAUGGCUGGCGGCGGUUGCUUAGGGGCGUU
rnacentral:lncRNA from 1 species